rnacentral:misc_RNA from 1 species
AAGUCGUAACAAGGUUUCCGUAGGUGAACCUGCGGAAGGAUCAUUAACAGAUUCUCUCUGAAUCUAACCAUGUGUGAACUGUCUCUUUAAUCAUGGGUGUGGUGUAGUUGGUGCGGAAGGCGUCAUUUUGUGGUAAAACACUUGGUGGCGAACGAAUAGUGUCCAUUACCGCCAAUCAAACCCCAACCAUGAUCAUCCAACCAUUUAACUUUAUGACUGAAUAAAAAACAAACCUAGAAAACUUUUAGCAAUGGAUCUCUAGGCUCUU